rnacentral:siRNA from 1 species
UGAUCGGAUCCGAAAACACGCC